CAAUAGCGUAUAUUUAAGUUGCUGCAGUUAAAAAGCUCGUAGUUGGAUUUCGGGUGGGAAUGGCCGGUCCGCCGUUUCGGUGUGCACUUGCUACGCCCACCUUGCUGCCGGGGACGUGCUCUUGAGUUCACGCUCGGGACACGGAGUCGGCGAGGUUACUUUGAGUAAAUUAGAGUGUUCAAAGCAGGCCUACGCUCUGAAUACAUUAGCAUGGAAUAACACGAUAGGACUCUGGCCUAUCUUGUUGGUCUGUAGGACCGGAGUAAUGAUUAAGAGGGACAGUCGGGGGCAUUCGUAUUUCAUUGUCAGAGGUGAAAUUCUUAGAUUACCGAAAGACAAACUGCUGCGAAAGCGUCUGCCAAGGAUGUUUUCAUUGA
rnacentral:rRNA from 1 species